rnacentral:rRNA from 1 species
UACAGAGGGUGCGAGCGUUAAUCGGAAUUACUGGGCGUAAAGCGUGCGUAGACGGUAGCGUAAGUCAGAUGUGAAAGCCCCGGGCUCAACCUGGGAACUGCAUUUGAGACUGCUCUGCUCGGGUGCGGAAGAGGGAAGCGGAAUUUCCGGUGUAGCGGUGAAAUGCGUAGAUAUCGGAAGGAACACCUGUGGCGAAAGCGGCUCACUGGACCAUAACUGACGCUGAGGCGCGAAAGCUAGGGGAGCAAACAGG